UUGAUAUGCUUAAGUUCAGCGGGUAUUCCUACCUGAUCCGAGGUCAACCUUUGGAGAAUUGGGGGUUUUACGGCAAGAGUCCCUCCGGAUCCCAGUGCGAACCGUAAAGUUACUACGCAAAGGAGCUCCGCGGAGGGCACUUUUGAGCUAACGCUUGCACAAGCUUGAGGGUUGACCUCGAACGGCUGCCCGCCGCGGGGCGCGGAGUAACCAAACUCUGAUUUAACGAGUUCUCUGAUUACAAGCAAUAUCAACUUUCAGGAUCCUGUUCUGCAUCGAUGCAGAACAGGACGUUGAAAGUUGAUAUUGCUUGUAAUCAGAGAACUCGUUAAAUCAGAGUUUGUUACCCGGGCGCCCCGCGGCGGGCAGCCGUUCGAGGUCAACCCUMCCCGAAGCGUUGUGGGGCCCUACAGCUGAUGUAGGCCCUCAAAGGUAGUGGCGGACCCUCCCGGAGCCUCCUUUGCGUAGUAACUUUACGUCUCGCACUGGGAUCCGGAGGGACUCUUGCCGUAAAACCCCCAAUUCUCCAAAGGUGACC
rnacentral:rRNA from 1 species